rnacentral:rRNA from 1 species
CCUACGGGAGGCAGCAGUGAGGAAUAUUGGUCAAUGGGCGUGAGCCUGAACCAGCCAAGUCGCGUGAAGGAUGACUGCUCUAUGGGUCGUAAACCUCUUUUAUAAAGGAAUAAAGUGAGGCACGUGUGCUUUUUUGUAUGUACCUUAUGAAUAAGGAUCGGCUAACUCCGUGCCAGCAGCCGCGGUAAUACGGAGGAUCCGAGCGUUAUCCGGAUUUAUUGGGUUUAAAGGGUGCGUAGGUGGGUUGUUAAGUCAGUGGUGAAAGUCUGUGGCUCAACCGUAAAAUUGCAGUUGAUACUGGCAGUCUUGAGUACAUUUGAGGUAGGCGGAAUUCGUGGUGUAGCGGUGAAAUGCUUAGAUAUCACGCAGAACCCCGAUUGCGAAGGCAGCUUGCUAAGCUAUGACUGACAUUGAUGCACGAAAGUGUGGGGAUCAAACAGGAUUAGAUACCCCGGUAGUC